UUCCGGUUGAUCCUGCCGGACCCGACUGCUAUCAGAGUGGGACUAAGCCAUGCGAGUCAACACAGCAAUGUGUGGCAUACGGCUCAGUAACACGUAGUCAACAUGCCCAGGGGACGUGGAUAACCUCGGGAAACUGAGGAUAAACCGCGAUAAGUCACUACUUCUGGAAUGGGUAAUGACUUAAAUCUAUAUGGCCCCUGGAUUGGACUGCGGCCGAUCAGGCUGUUGGUGAGGUAAUGGCCCACCAAACCUGUAACCGGUACGGGCUCUGAGAGGAGGAGCCCGGAGAUGGGCACUGAGACAAGGGCCCAGGCCCUAUGGGGCGCAGCAGGCGCGAAACCUCUGCAAUAGGCGAAAGCCUGACAGGGUUACUCUGAGUGAUUUCCGUUAAGGAGAUCUUUUGGCACCUCUAAGAAUGGUGCAGAAUAAGGGGUGGGCAAGUCUGGUGUCAGCCGCCGCGGUAAUACCAGCACCCCGAGUGGUCGGGACGUUUAUUGGGCCUAAAGCAUCCGUAGCCGGUUCUGCAAGUCUUCCGUUAAAUCCACCUGCUUAACAGAUGGGCCGCGGAAGAUACUAUAGAGCUAGGAGGCGGGAGAGGCAAGCGGUACUCGAUGGGUAGGGGUAAAAUCCGUUGAUCCAUUGAAGACCACCAGUGGCGAAGGCGGCUUGCCAGAACGCGCUCGACGGUGAGGGAUGAAAGCUGGGGGAGCAAACCGGAUUAGAUACCCGGGUAGUCCCAG
rnacentral:rRNA from 1 species